rnacentral:rRNA from 1 species
ACAUGCUUAUAACAUAUCAUUAAUGCACUAGAUCCCAUUAUAACUCUGCAAUUAAGCGUGAUCAGGCUAGAGUAGUUUUGUGAUGGGUGACCGCCUCGGAAGUCCUAGUGUUUUACAUGCC